CCUACGGGGGGCAGCAGUGGGGAAUAUUGGGCAAUGGGCGCAAGCCUGACCCAGCAACGCCGCGUGAAGGAAGAAGGCUCUCGGGUUGUAAACUUCUUUUCUGAGGGACGAAGAAAGUGACGGUACCUCAGGAAUAAGCCACGGCUAACUACGUGCCAGCAGCCGCGGUAAUACGUAGGUGGCAAGCGUUAUCCGGAUUUAUGGGGUGUAAAGGGAGUGUAGGCGGGAAAGCAAGUCAGAUGUGAAAACUUGGGGCUCAACCCUGAGACUGCAUUUGAAACUGUUUUUCUUGAGUGCUGGAGAGGCAAUCGGAAUUCCGUGUGUAGCGGUGAAAUGCGUAGAUAUACGGAAGAACACCAGUUGCGAAGGCGGAUUGCUGAACAGUAACUGACGCUGAGGCGCGAAAGCGUGGGGAGCAAACAGGAUUAGAUACCCUAGUAGUC
rnacentral:rRNA from 1 species